rnacentral:rRNA from 1 species
UACGGGAGGCAGCAGUGGGGAAUAUUGCACAAUGGGCGCAAGCCUGAUGCAGCCAUGCCGCGUGUAUGAAAAAGGCCUUCGGGUUGUAAAGUACUUUCAGUCGUGAGGAAGGUGUUAAGGUUAAUAACCUUAGCAAUUGACGUUAGCGACAGAAGAAGCACCGGCUAACUCCGUGCCAGCAGCCGCGGUAAUACGGAGGGUGCGAGCGUUAAUCGGAAUUACUGGGCGUAAAGGGCACGCAGGCGGUUAAUUAAGUUGGAUGUGAAAUCCCCGGGCUUAACCUGGGAAUGGCAUUCAAGACUGGUUAGCUAGAGUCUUGUAGAGGGGGUAGAAUUCCAUGUGUAGCGGUGAAAUGCGUAGAGAUGUGGAGGAAUACCGGUGGCGAAGGCGGCCCCUGGACAAAGGCUGACGCUCAUGUGCGAAAGCGUGGGGAGCAAACAGGGAUUAGAUACCCGU